CGCAGCCGCGGUAAUUCCAGCUCCAAUAGCGUAUAUUAAAGUUGUUGCAGUUAAAAAGCUCGUAGUUGAAUUUCGGGAUCAGUACGCCGGUCGUGCCUUCGGUAUGCACUGGUGUCACUGAUUCCUCCCUUCUGAAGAACCGUUAUGCCAUUUAUUUGGUGUGGCGGGGAAUCAGGACUGUUACUUUGAAAAAAUUAGAGUGUUUAAAGCAGGCUCGCGCUUGAAUACAUUAGCAUGGAAUAAUGAAAUAGGACGUUUGAUCUUAUUUUGUUGGUUUCUAGGAUCGACGUAAUGAUUAAUAGGGAUAGUUGGGGGCAUUAGUAUUCAAUUGUCAGAGGUGAAAUUCUUGGAUUUAUUGAAGACUAACUACUGCGAAAGCAUUUGCCAAGGAUGUUUUCAUUAAUCAAGAACGAAAGUUAGGGAUCGAAGACGAUCAGAUACCGUCGUGGUCUUAACCAUAAACUAUGCCGACUAGGGAUCGGAUGAUGUUAUUUUUAAUGUACUCAUUCGGCGCCUUAAC
rnacentral:rRNA from 1 species